AAAGCAUGCAACGCCCACAACCCCUGGGGAGGAAACCACAAGGUUACUCAACUGUCCUUUAUACAUGCACUGGCCAUGUUUGACUUGGUGGGCUGGGACUUCCUCGAGGGAAGCUACUUCUCUUGUCUUUUCCUGGGUGGGUACAUCAGGUUUUUUGUUUGAACAUUGACAUUUUGCACUUUCCACCUGUUGCCAUGAAGGAAAAGAUGUGUGUAACUAGGAGAAGGGCUGUCCUUCCUCUGUUCAGGAUUGCUGUCUGCUCCCAACUCAUGACCAGUGAAAACUGAACCCAAAGUCCAUGAAAAGAGAAGUCCUUGGACUGCAGGCGUACAAAUGAAGCAAAUUCUUCUCCCCCCCCCCAGAGAAUGGAAACUUCCGUGUGUCAAGAUCUCUUUUGCAAAGAAUGGGUGUUUGAACUCGCAUGGUAUUACGACACCCAGGACCUUCCAUUGUCAGCAUGAAAAGCAUUUGCAAGCUUUUCUUCUCUCCCUCAAAGGAAAGAAACCACGGCAGAGAGAAGACAGAUUUUGCAAGGUACUCUAAGACAGAGGUCCCCAACCUUUUGGACACCAGGGACCACUUCUAUGGAGAGAAGUU